rnacentral:rRNA from 1 species
GAUGAACGCUGGCGGCGUGCCUAAUACAUGCAAGUCGAGCGAACAGACGAGGAGCUUGCUCCUCUGACGUUAGCGGCGGACGGGUGAGUAACACGUGGAUAACCUACCUAUAAGACUGGGAUAACUUCGGGAAACCGGAGCUAAUACCGGAUAAUAUAUUGAACCGCAUGGUUCAAUAGUGAAAGACGGUUUUGCUGUCACUUAUAGAUGGAUCCGCGCUGCAUUAGCUAGUUGGUAAGGUAACGGCUUACCAAGGCAACGAUGCGUAGCCGACCUGAGAGGGUGAUCGGCCACACUGGAACUGAGACACGGUCCAGACUCCUACGGGAGGCAGCAGUAGGGAAUCUUCCGCAAUGGGCGAAAGCCUGACGGAGCAACGCCGCGUGAGUGAUGAAGGUCUUCGGAUCGUAAAACUCUGUUAUUAGGGAAGAACAAAUGUGUAAGUAACUAUGCACGUCUUGACGGUGCCUAAUCAGAAAGCCACGGCUAACUACGUG